CUUAUACAUAUGUUAUGGCUGUUUCAAGCAAGAAAUUUAGAAUCACUAUGCACUAUUUUUAAUUGUUACAGGCUUAAAAAUUGUCACAUUGAAAUCAAAAUAAACAUAACAUAGUAUUUAUAUCUAUCUUGAUCUUGAAGAUAAAAGUUCACUGAAAAUAUGGUUUGUCUGUCUACAUGAAAGUUUGAACCGACAACUUUUAUUAUUUGUUUAUUACAGCAGUUUACCAGAAAAUCACAACUCGAAGAUGGAUAAUAUUUUUUGAUUGCAUUAGGAGUAUACCUUAAUGGUUGAAAUACGAGAAUCUAGAGUUUUCAAGGCUUGGGAGGAUUCUUAUCUCAGUGCACAAUGUUGUCAGGAAGGAUUGUGAAAGUUUUAUAAUCCCUUCAAUUUUUUUGGCUAAGAAAUUUCAAAAUCCCAAAAUUUGAAAAGAUGUUCAACGUUGCAAAUUGGAUAAAUUAAAGAUAAUACUUUUUAGGCAGAUUCAAGGUCAUCGACUAUGGGUUUGUAACGAAGUUUUAUUGCGUCUUUAUUGUCAUUGCUGGAUACCACUGUCCAGUGUAUUCUUUCUGAAGGGACUCCAAGUUUUCCUCAGCUUGAACAUUUUUUCUUCAAUCACUGAUAUUUGCUUCAGAUGUUCAAUAAUCACCAUAAUCAAGAGAAAUGUUAAAAGAGAAACAGAAAUUUAUUUCUUUAACUAGGAUGUAGUAAUGCAAUUUUCUGUGACACUUGUACUUAUUGCAUUAUCUAUAUAAUAGUUUUAUAAGAAUUUUUUUAUAGCUUGUUUAAUUUCCAAAUUUUUAGUUCAGAAACACUUUUAAAAUGUUGAACACAAAUUUUUGUAAGCACAAGUCUGAGGCCCCUUGAAAACAACUGAACUGUAUUGUUUUUCAGUUUUGUUUCAUUUUUAUACUAACUACAUGUGAUACCAGUUUUUCAACAUGUGGAUGAAUUGUUUUUGAAGGGGUUAGUUGUACAAUGUCAGCAGCUUUGAUGUUAUUGUCACCUUUGUGAAACCGUUUUCUCGGUUGCAUAAAUAUACUUUAUUAGCGAGCCUCCUACCCUUUCCUUGCUGCUUAUUACUUUGGAACAAUUUACAAUUUUUAGUAGACUGUGGAGUCCAUUCUACACAUUUUAAUUGUAUACAUUGUUAUUUUUUGGUUUUUGACCUUUUUUACGCAGCAAUAGCACUUAUUGCAAAUUUGGGUGGGUUUCUACCUCACACAUCUGCACCAAAAUUAAUGUUUAAUAUAAAUGUCAAACAAAUUGAAUAUUCAGCCAAUAGGUUCUUUUUCCAGUUAGUGUACACCAUAUUCUACAAAUUUCUCAAUAGAAUGUAAAUGUCAAUAAUUACAUUUAUCAAGGUCAGCCAUUUUCAUAAAAAUAACACUAAGUUUUGAGAAAUAUAUCUUCUUUACAAAAAAUGAUUGGCAUGUUCAUGUUCUUAAGUGAUAACUGGAAAAAUAUGAUUUUACAACUACCCUCACUUCAGCUGGCUAUUUACCGCCCGUUGGAAAGUUUUUGGGCUAAAAGUUAAUACAUGAGUAGCUAGGUCCCUAUUAAAGCAAAUUCAAACUUUCUUAUCCAUAGAAGAACAUAAAUGCAAGAGAAACAGGACUUUAAGUUGUACGUGUGAAUAUUUAUGAUGUUUUGUUUACAUUUUUCACAAACUCGCCCAAAACCUCUUUAAAACACUUAUUUUUGUUUUGCCUGCAUAGAAACAGCCAUGUAUUUUUUUGGAAAAGGAUGUAUAAAUUUAUUUUCUUGCUAUCUAUAGGAUAAUCUAAUUAUUUAUGCGCAACAUCUUAUACAAUUUAUUAAAAAAAAAAAAGUUCAUAUUGACUCAUUUAUGCCAUCAUGCAAUAAAAAAACACUUAUUUCUUGUUGAAAGCAUAGCAAUGUCAUUAAGCCUCUGCUGUUUUUGUGCAAAGAAAUUCUAGUUGUCUAGUUACUACUUGAAUCAUAUAACUAACUUCCUCAGGGAAGAAUUUUUUUUAAAUUUUAUUUCUUUUACAAUGUGUCCUUGCUGAUGCAGUGGGUAAACUGGGAAGCUAAACUAUUGCAUAAAAUAUACUUUUAAUGCUUAGGAGAAAAAAAUUAAAGAAAAUUGAGGAUUGAUAUUUUUCUAAAGAAACUGAGAAAAUUAUGAGGAGAUUUUAGAGGUAACGCCACAAAAGAACACGUUAUUUUUGCAGUCAUCUAGCAUUUCUAAUGUAUUUUGAAAAUAAAAACAUGUGACAAACCAUAUAAUUUUGUAAAAAAAAAAUAGGAAGAUUUGGGGAGAAAGGUGUUAAAAAGUCUACUAUUGUGGGAGAUUUAAGGAUUUUUGAGAAGACUUUUCAUAAUUAAGAACAUAUGCUGUUUUUUUCUACGUAUGUACAUUGUUGGGCAAAUGCAUACAACUUUAUACUUACUCAAGAUCAACCUCAUCAUCACUUGGAUAAUCUGGUUGUGGUAAUGAAACAUUUCCAUUACUGUCAAGACCUGUAUCUGCACUAAAAGUUCGACAAAGUAUUGUUUUAGCAACAUUAUCCUUAUCAACAUCUCUUGUAGACAGAGACGUUGAAAAGUUAAGAGUCUGAGAUCGUUGCUUCCCCAUUACAUCCUGGCGUUUCUUUUCUUUUUUACUU